UACGUAGGGUGCAGGCGUUAAUCGGAAUUACUGGGCGUAAAGAGUUGCGUAGGUGGCAGUGUAAGUCGGUAGUGAAAGCGUGGGGCUCAACCCCAUAUCCAUUAUCGAAACUGCACGGCUAGAGGACGAGAGAGGUUAUUGGAAUUCCCAGUGUAGGAGUGAAAUCCGUAGAUAUUGGGAGGAACACCGAUGGCGUAGGCAGAUAACUGGCUCGUUCCUGACACUAAGGCACGGAAAGCGUGGGGAGCAAACGGGG
rnacentral:rRNA from 1 species